GACGAACGCUGGCGGCGUGCUUAACACAUGCAAGUCGAACGGAAAGGCCCUGCUUUUGUGGGGUGCUCGAGUGGCGAACGGGUGAGUAACACGUGAGUAACCUGCCCUUGACUUUGGGAUAACUUCAGGAAACUGGGGCUAAUACCGGAUAGGAGCUCCUGCUGCAUGGUGGGGGUUGGAAAGUUUCGGCGGUCGGGGAUGGACUCGCGGCUUAUCAGCUUGUUGGUGGGGUAGUGGCUUACCAAGGCUUUGACGGGUAGCCGGCCUGAGAGGGUGACCGGCCACAUUGGGACUGAGAUACGGCCCAGACUCCUACGGGGGGCAGCAGUGGGGAAUAUUGCGCAAUGGGCGGAAGCCUGAUGCAGCAACGCCGCGUGCGGGAUGACGGCCUUCGGGUUGUAAACCGCUUUCGCCUGUGACGAAGCGUGAGUGACGGUAAUGGGUAAAGAAGCACCGGCUAACUACGUG
rnacentral:rRNA from 1 species